rnacentral:tRNA from 1 species
GGAGAGAUGCCCGAGAGGCCGAAGGGGCACGACUGGAAAUCGUGUGUACACCCACAAAGGUGUACCGCGGGUUCGAAUCCCGCUCUCUCCGCCA